CUGGGCGUUAUAGACUUUGGUAGACAUUCAUAGACAUCCAUAGAUUUCAAUAUCUACUGCUUUGGGAGCAAUAGGUCGCAGGUUCAAAUCCUGUCGUCCCGA
rnacentral:tRNA from 1 species